rnacentral:misc_RNA from 1 species
GAUGAAGAACGUAGCGAAAUGCGAUACGUAAUGUGAAUUGUAGAAUUCAGUGAAUCAUCGAAUCUUUGAACGCAUAUUGCGCUCUUUGGUAUUCCGAAGAGCAUGCUUGUUUGAGUAUCAGUAAACACCUCAACCUCUUCUUGAUUUUUCAAAAGGAGGGUGGACUUGAGCUAUCCCAACAACCUUUACCGGUCGGCGGGCGGCUUGAAAUGCAGGUGCAGCUGGACUUUUAUCUGAGCUAAAAGCAUAUCUAUUUAGUCCUCGUCAAACAGGAUUAUUACUUUUGCUGCAGCUAACAUAAAGGAUAAUUGUCCUCUUUGCUGACUGAUGCAGGAUUUUACGACACUUUAUGUGUUGUUCAACUCGAUCUCAAAUCAAGUAAGACUACCCGCUGAACUUAAGCAUAUCAAUAAGCGGAGGA